rnacentral:rRNA from 1 species
UACGAAGGACCCGAGCGUUAUCCGGAUUUAUUGGGUUAAAGGGUGCGUAGGCGGCCCUGUAAGUCAGUGGUGAAAUACUGCAGCUUAACUGUAGCAUUGCCAUUGAUACUGUAGGGCUUGAGUACAGAUGAGGUAGGCGGAAUUGAUGGUGUAGCGGUGAAAUGACAUAGAUACAUCAAGAACACCGAUUGCGAAGGCAGCUUACUAAGCUGUAACUGACGCUGAGGCACGAAAGCGUGGGGAUCGAACAGG